rnacentral:misc_RNA from 1 species
AAAGUCGUAACAAGGUUUCCGUAGGUGAACCUGCGGAAGGAUCAUUAUUGAAAUGUUAGGAUGAUGGUAUCGUUUGAAAUAUUAACGGAACCUUCAUCUAUCAUUGACAUAUUAUCAUUAUACCAUGUGAAACGGAAUAUUUUAAACGAGAUGAAACGUUUUAGUGUGAUUGUAUGUCUUUUAAAGUUGUAAACUUUUAAAACAACUUUCAGCAACGGAUCUCUUGGCUCUC